UUUUCUCUAAUGACUCGUGUUAUGUGACUGUUUGUGCCUUCCGUUACUUUGACUCGAUCCUCACAGUCCAAAGUGUUUGAAUGUGUGGCAGGAGUCGAGUCUGUCGGCCGACACGAUCGACCGCUCGGCUCUUGUGCUUUUUAGCAGAAGACGUUUGAAAGAGUGAAAAGCGGCUUCAGCUGUGAUGCUAACAGAUGCUAACAGUCAGGAAUCAGUGGGAAAGCUUGUUUAUUCACACACUUUGUUUGUUUGUUUGUUUGUUAGUUUGUUCGGGAGAAAACGCCUCAAGGCUGUCACGUUCAUUACCGUAAAGAUGAGAGUAGAGACGCACUUCAGUCUGUCCGCCUGUGCUGUGUGGGUCAUGAGCUCCUGGACUGAUAGCACAAGUACUCACAUUCCAAUUCAAAUAAGUUUUGACAGCAGACUGUGUGUCCCUCAAGCUGUGGUGUGUUGACAUCAGGCAGCUCUGUGUCCUCCUCCUCACAGUGUUUUUAAUGCUGCCAGCUUGUUAAGUAGCAGCAGACGUUACCAUGGCAAUGCAGCCAGGUGAGAAGAGAAGGAGAGUCACCUUGGAGACACUGAAGACUCUGGAUCAGAUGCUGACAUGUGAAUCCUGUUUUGUUGUCCAGCCCUCUGAUCCUAAAAUUCCUCCUGUAAAAUUCAGGAUAGGCUUUAAAAUUCUUCUCCUCACAUAUAAAGGAAAGGACUUUGCUUAUAUUUUGUGGCUAAGGAAAUGAAGGAAACGAAGCCGCUCAACAGCCUCACGUCUGCCUUCUGCUUACUGACCGUAGAGGAAAGACGUCUUUAAGGACGACGACCUUCUUCAGACCUCACAGAGAGAUGAGAGGAGCAGCUAUGAGUUUAAGUGCAGCAGCCAGUGGAUUUGUUGUCUUCCUCCUCUCUGUGUCAGGUACUGUAUAUCUACAGUUACAUUCACUGCAUUCAAAGAGGGGAAUGUGGCAACAUGUGGGCUGAAGCUCACAUGUGGAAAUCAGUGGAUCAGAGUUGUGUGAAGGGAAAACUUCCCAGAAACACUUUGGAUCAUUUCUGUUUGAUUUUGUGUCAGUUGUAAUGAAUAUCAGGAAGAUGUUCUGCUGUGUUGGCCAACAUGUGUUGCUGUUGUCUUUUGCAUAAAGUAGCUGUGUGCUAAACACUUUGACAUGCUGUGAAGUGAGAAUAUUGUGGCUUUUAUUCCUAACUGUUUCCUCCUCAGCCUGUUUCAUUUGCUCUAAAGCCGACCCUGCUUGUAGAAGCUGCAGCUCUCGUGGAGGACGAUUAGUUUCUCUCUGCAGCUUCUUUUAUGACAGUGAAGUUUUUUGGAGGGAUGUUGGUCUCACAGUGAAGUCGCCACAUACUGACUGAACGGCUCUCAUAUUAUCAUACGUCUGCACCAAACCCUGCUAGUUCAUGUUGUGCUGUCUGACCUCAGUGUGAUGUUUCCACCCUCAGAACUGACGGUUGUUUCAGCUUUUAUUUUUAUGUCAAAGUUUGCUGCUGAAAACAGUUUCUCACGCCUCAUUGUUCUG